rnacentral:rRNA from 1 species
AUUGAACGCUGGCGGCAGGCCUAACACAUGCAAGUCGAGCGGAUGAAGGGAGCUUGCUCCUGGAUUCAGCGGCGGACGGGUGAGUAAUGCCUAGGAAUCUGCCUGGUAGUGGGGGAUAACGUCCGGACACGGGCCCUAAUACCGCAUACGUCCUGAGGGAGAAAGUGGGGGAUCUUCGGACCUCACGCUAUCAGAUGAGCCUAGGUCGGAUUAGCUAGUUGGUGGGGUAAAGGCCUACCAAGGCGACGAUCCGUAACUGGUCUGAGAGGAUGAUCAGUCACACUGGAACUGAGACACGGUCCAGACUCCUACGGGAGGCAGCAGUGGGGAAUAUUGGACAAUGGGCGAAAGCCUGAUCCAGCCAUGCCGCGUGUGUGAAGAAGGUCUUCGGAUUGUAAAGCACUUUAAGUUGGGAGGAAGGGCAGUAAGUUAAUACCUUGCUGUUUUGACGUUACCAACAGAAUAAGCACCGGCUAACUUCGUG